AGUCUGUAACGCAUGACUGCUUGCAGGCAAUGCGUUAAGACUAUUAGCAAAUCGAACAGACAUGAGCACGGAGGACGACAGUCCGGAUUGCGAAUGGAUGUACACUUUCGAGAGUGCGGGAGCACGGAGAAA
rnacentral:sRNA from 1 species